CUAGCGCUCACAAGUGCUGUUCCUCAGGGCGGAGGGCUGAGUACUUGCCUCCCCAGCCCGGCGGAGAGCGGUCCCUCCCUCGCGCGGAGCAAGGGGCUGCACGCUCCCUCGGAUCUCCCCGGGCACCCGCCCCUUUGCGCACCACACGUGUAUCGAGAACCCUGGAUGCACACGAGGAAUGAGGCCGAGUCUGUUUCCAAUGCAAGGGACCCAAAGGGAAGAGAAUCUGGUGCUAGGUGUGAAUGUCGGUGCUCAGCUCUGCACCCUGUGAUCGUGUUACUGCACGUUCCCUUUCCCUGAGUGUUAAGGCUGGUGCAGCAUUUCCCGUGGAAGGAAGUGUGCCAGCGGAAAUGACAGCAGUCCACCACAUGCAGAGCCAUUUCCUGGUCGCGAUGUCUUCAGCUCCAGCCAACAUGGCUUAAGCGAGUGAGGGAGAGGGUUCAGUCACAGAAGAUCCCUUGGGGGUGCUUCCCGGUGUGCUGACAAAACCACUAACAAUCGCCUCUUUGAUCUCGGGGGCUUCUAACGACUCUGUCCUGCUGGGCCAGAGCCCCUGGUUUCCUCCAGCUAAGGCACAGAGCUGAAAUCACCACCCCCUCUGAGGAGCAAUAUAGACUCUGAAACUCUUCAAGUCUGAGGAAAAUGCAGUUUUGGGCCCAGCUUCCAGGGAAACCACUCACGAAUUGGGAUCAGAAUCCCCUAAUAAAUUAUUCAGUUUAUCAAUAUCCAGCUUGAAGUGUGGAUACCAGAACUGGACACAAUAUUCCAGUGGCAAUUGCACCAUCAUCAGGUACAGAGAGUCAAGUCCAUCUGGUAUUACAAAGACUUGUCUUGGGAGGAUAAUGCUAGAUUUGAGAAAUUGAUCCACUCUAGUCCAGUACCAAACAAAAGAAUUUGCUGAACCAUGGGAGGAUACAUGGCACAUGUCUCAGUGGAGUUAGAGCAGUGGAUUUCCAACCUUUUUACCACAAGAUCACUUUCAAUGUAAGUGCAAUGUAAGAUCUACCUCAAACCCAAAUACCCUUGCCCAGAUUCCAUCCCACCCCAUCUCUAAGGCCCCGCCCUCACUACACCCCUUCUCUAAGGCCUCACCCUGCUCACUCCAUCCCCCUUCUGCCCUGAAUCUCAUUCACUUUCACCAGGAUGGGGUAGAGGGUUGGGGUGCAGGGUCUGGUCUUUGGCCAAGGGGUUCAGAGUGUGGAACGAGACACCCUGAAGUUAGGGUGCUGGAGUCGGCGCUGGAGUGGCCUAGGGCAUAGGGCAUUUACCUGGGACUGGGGGGGUCAAGUCCUGUCCACCCAGGAAGUAGCAGAACAGCCAACACCAGCUGUUCCAGCAAUAGAGCUGGGUCCCUCAUUAGGAAAGCAGGAUAAGAGACUCUGUGAAGGAAGGUGAGGUGGGUGUUGGUGUGGCUUUGGGGAUAGCGAGCUCAACUGGGGAGUGCAGGGUGGUGGGUUCAAGACCCAUCCCUGCCUUUACACCAUCCUUUGAGUGUCCAGGCAGCCAACACAGGGAUAAGGGAUCCUCUGAAGGUAGGGAGGCCACGUGGGUUUUUGAGGCAACUAGGGGAAAGGGCAUUUGCCUGGGGGAGGGCAGCCAACACAAGUUGCUCCCAGGCAUGGAGCAAGAUCCUUUGUUAGGAAGGCAGGAUAAGGGUCCCUCUGAAGGUUAGGAGAUGAGGUGGGUUCUGGAGUGGCUUAAGGGAUACAGCAUUGGCUGAAGAGCAUAGGGUCGAGGGCUUGAGCCCAGUCUCCCCUUGACAUCCAAGGUCCUAUCUCCCACCCACCCUGCACGUGACCAGACAGCCAUAACAGGAUAAGGGACCUUCUGAAGGUAGGGUGAUGGUGUGGCUUAGGGGAAAGGGAACUUGUUUGGGGAGCACAGGGUGGUGAGCAGACAUGUGGACAAGGGGG